UACAGAGGUCCCAAGCGUUGUUCGGAUUCACUGGGCGUAAAGGGUGCGUAGGUGGUGGGGUAAGUUUGAUGUGAAAGCUCCGAGCUUAACUCGGAAAUGGCAUUGAAUACUAUCCUGCUUGAGGUUUGGAGGGGGGACUGGAAUUCUCGGUGUAGCAGUGAAAUGCGUAGAUAUCAAGAGGAACACCUGAGGCGAAGGCGGGUUGCUAGGCUGACACUGACGCUGAAGCGCGAAAGCUAGGGUAGCAAACGGG
rnacentral:rRNA from 1 species